ACGGGAGGCAGCAGUGGGGAAUAUUGGGCAAUGGGCGAAAGCCUGACCCAGCGACGCCGCGUGAGGGAAGAAGGUCUUCGGAUUGUAAACCUCUUUCAGCAGGGAAGAAGCAUGACGGUACCUGCAGAAGAAGUCACGGCUAACUACGUGCCAGCAGCCGCGGUAAUACGUAGGUGGCGAGCGUUAUCCGGAAUUACUGGGUGUAAAGGGUGUGUAGGCGGAGAAGCAAGUCAGGCGUGAAAUUCAGAGGCUCAACCUCUGGACUGCGCUUGAAACUGUUUUCCUUGAGUGUUGGAGAGGUAAACGGAAUUCCUGGUGUAGUAGUGAAAUGCGUAGAUAUCAGGAGGAACACCGGUGGCGAAGGCGGUUUACUGGACAACAACUGACGCUGAGACACGAAAGCGUGGGGAGCAAACAGGAUUAGAUACCCGGUA
rnacentral:rRNA from 1 species